rnacentral:rRNA from 1 species
GAUGAACGCUAGCUACAGGCUUAACACAUGCAAGUCGAGGGGAAACGACAUCGAAAGCUUGCUUCUGAUGGGCGUCGACCGGCGCACGGGUGAGUAACGCGUAUCCAACCUGCCCAUCACUUGGGAAUAACCUUGCGAAAGUAAGACUAAUACCCAAUGACAUCCCACGAAGACAUCUGAAUGGGAUUAAAGAUUUAUCGGUGAUGGAUGGGGAUGCGUCUGAUUAGCUUGUUGGCGGGGUAACGGCCCACCAAGGCAACGAUCAGUAGGGGUUCUGAGAGGAAGGUCCCCCACAUUGGAACUGAGACACGGUCCAAACUCCUACGGGAGGCAGCAGUGAGGAAUAUUGGUCAAUGGGCGAGAGCCUGAACCAGCCAAGUAGCGUGCAGGAUGACGGCCCUAUGGGUUGUAAACUGCUUUUAUAAGGGAAUAAAGUGGGUCUCGUGAGACUUUUUGCAUGUACCUUAUGAAUAAGGACCGGCUAAUUCCGUG